CCAAGUGAGAUUAUUCUUGGAACAACUUUGGUCUGAUGAAUGAGAAAUUCAAAUUCUUCUUGAGUACUUGCGUGUCACGGCUUUCAUGCUCUUCCACAGCCUAGAUGUGUCAUUAAUCAAGUUGUUUUGAAAACAACCCAAUAAAUGUUCUACUUCAGCUGUAGGCCUACCCCUUUCGGUUGUUACUACGAGAAAAUGAGAUGACAUCUUGUAUCAGUCUCGCCAGUAUUUAAGUCAUCAUCGUGGUGUUGUACAAAUAUACAGCAAACAAGUAGAUGUCUUUGCACAUCCAUUAAUACUGCAAAAGAA